GAGGAAUCGUCCAGGGAUGACAGACAUGCCAGGGCUGCAGUGGAAAAUUUUCAGGGCUCGGCCCUCCAGCUCAUCUCCAGGACACUGCCCCCUAACUCAGCCACAGAACCAGCAGCCCUGAAGCCAGCAGCGAGCACCCCCUACUCCUCCGAAGUCUCCUGUUGAAAGCACAUGCUGUCUCAAGCAUGAAGACCAGCUAAAUCAGUGAUGGAGAGAAAAAGAAGGCAAGAUCAGAAUUCACAAUGUAAAUGAAAAUAACCAUCUGCCACUGAUAAAAAUCAUUUCCCAAGCACUUCAUAUUUAUAUUUAACAACCUCACAUUCCAUUAAAGUUGCAAACUUCA